rnacentral:lncRNA from 1 species
CUUCCUUCCCCUAAUCCUCCCAGACCCCAUCAUUCCAUAAAUUUUGGAAUAACAAAGUUGCCACCCUUGGCACUUUAGCAUCAAAAGAAACGUUUGCUUUAUCAGGGCCUAGGAAAACAACGAGGAUCCCAGAAGUCCACAGAGCAGUUGCCGACACUGGGAGUUAGAAAUGGCUGGCUAGUUUUAUUACCAGUUAAUGGUGUUUGUAUUUGUGCCUUUGCAAAUAACCAUGAGAAAUCAAUCGCCACGCGCGGACAGUGUGAAAAAAUUAGUGACCGAGUCCUCAAGCCUGGCUGGGGGUGAGGACCGGCUCAGUAAUCGCGCUGAAGAAGCGGAGGCUUGAGAAAGGCUUUCUGUGGGGCACAUCGGCUGGGGAGGGACGAAGAUUUGCAGUGCCUGGCGUUGAUGCACCCUCUGCCCCUAACUCCAUGCGCAUUUGAAGAGCUCCAGACAGCACCAUCGCCAACCCCAUGCAUGGAGAAUUCACCAACUCAUUCAUCCUGCCAAAAGGGGUGCCUGAGAAAACCUUCUGUCCUAGGUCUCUGAAAGGCACAGAAUUAUAACGGUUAAGAGGAUUCAGAAAGUAAGGUUUAAAUCCGGCCUCUUCUAUUAUUUGCUGGAGGGUCUUAGGCAAGUUAUUUAAUAUCCGCCCCCCCAUCCAUUUUCUGUCUGUUAAGUGCAAAUCCAUUUUGUAUUCCAGUUGCCUGGGUUAUUUUGAGACUAAACGAGGAGCUGUUGGCAGAGCGUUUCUCGCCUUACCUGGCAAGCGCACAGGGCGCAGCGCUAAGUAAGCACAUGCGCGUCCUGGAGCAGAGCAGGCGCGGGUCCCACCAGUGACUUUCCGGACAACCUGCCUGUCUCUCGGAGCAGCAAGGCGGAGUUCUUUGGGACUCUCGUCCACUCCUUGGAGGCGAGAAGGGAGUUUCGGGCUGUGGUACCUCACAUGUUCCGUUACCGAUGCCCCAGGACAGAGGGGCUCCCUACCGCGGUGGUCCUCCUCCUGCUCCAGCACGCAGCACGGUUUGCAGAGGGACUGCGCGUGACUAAGGUGGUGUUCGUCCCAGCGACACUUUCUGAGUCUCCGAGUUAUUGGUGGAUGUGCCCUCCUCCUCCUCAGACGUGGCGCCUGGAUCCACAGCUCAGAUGAUGGGCCACAUCGUCCCACCUGUGACUCAGAUGCCUCUCAUCUUCUCACAGCACAUGACAUCUUCCAUGCCUGAGUGCAUCUCAAUAAAGGUUUUUAAUUGGCAACCUGCAGGGUGACAUUUCUAAGUAGAAUUGCUUCUUUGUGCCUGGAGGUCCCUCCCUGUCGCUUGGAUAGGGCGGAGCCAGCUUCACAAUCCACUUUUUCUUCCUGAAAGGAUUUCUCAGGGAACGAGGACGCCUUUCUGGAUCUAGAUGAAAAGGCAAGGCCCCCCUUAUUCUCCUUUAAUACAGUUAGAACACAAUAUAAUUCCACAGAAAAUGGAAUUUUAUUUUCACCCAAAAUGAGAACACAUGGGUUAAACGUUA